rnacentral:lncRNA from 1 species
ACUGUGGAAGUCAUCUGGUUGACAGCCUCGGAUGAGAUCCAAGCUACCAAACCAGCAUUAAUUAACGGCCAGCCAUGUGAACAAGUGAACUUGGACAUUCCAGCCAGCCAAAGUAAGGAGGAAUGCAGCAGAAGCAACCAGCACUGACAUGACGAAUGCUACUCCGGAUGACAUUGAACUUGGGACUGAAGAGACUAUGCAUUGUGCAUGACAGUUUGCCAAUCUGUACCAUAGGAACUGCUGUCAUAGGGUGAAUGUCAUCAUGUUCUAAGCGGAUACAGGAGAAGCUCAUCAGGCCACAUGGCAAGGAAGCCUUAAGCUGCCUGCUUGACUUGAUUCAUCUGCUUGCUUUCUGAAGACAAGGGUACGGGAAAGAGAAAUCAGAGCUAUACUGAACACAACUGCAAGCCAAAUGAUCAGAUGCAGAGACAAGAGAGUCUUCAAUGAGUCCUGUUUUGACUUUUACAAAAGAACUGUAGUUCCGCUCCUGAAAAUAAAUCAAGAAAGAAGAGAGCUAUGUAAAGAAAACGCCCAAAUAGACCAUAUACAAGGAGACAGAAGCCUAAUAAAAAACAACAACAAAAAGACGUGGUUGAGGAGCCAGUUGGAAUCUGGGUGAGAUAGCAGGUGAUGGUGAUUGAAAACAUUGAUCUUCAAACUGGAUUCAUCUGAUGGUGUGGGCUCUGGGAUUUAAGAUUCAGAUGCCAUUUCUAACUGCCAGUAGAGCUCUCCUUUUUCUAAAGAUUCUGACCUCAGUCUGCAAUGGGAGAAGAGCUCUGCUGGAUGUGGAAAUUAUACUGGAAAAGGCUGGACCUCGAGUGUGUGUGUUUCAUAGAAGAGCGGCCACAUGGAAGAGUCUCUAGGUUUGUCUUGACGUGGGAGAAAAGGAGUGUUUGUGCAUCUGGGUGUCUGUCUGUUUAACAAUUAUUUUGCUUAAGAGAGAAGAGAAAAUACUUUGUUCUAAUUUCUCCUCAAGUGUUCUUUAGCCUUUUGACCUAAACUCAAGUGAGAUUUUCUUUCUUUUUAAGCACAAAGACUUUAAAGAGUACUUGAGGUUUUUUUAGCAAGAUUUUUUUUAUAUAUAAUUCUCAAAGUCAAUUGCCUUUGAAGGAGUGAUAACAAUAGAAUCAAGUAACAUUUUCUUAUUUGCUCAUAUAAUCCAAUUGUUGGACUAGAUGUUUAUGUGUAUUAUAAAGGCAUAAAUGCUAUAGGCUGUCUUAAGAAUUUGUUGAUCCUUUAUUGGUAUUCUGAGGUUCAGAUGAAAUGUAUCACCAGUAUCUAAG